GCUGUUAGACCUGUAGACCUGUGGCCCCUGCCUUUAACCAUAUCAGGGGUCCUGGGGAGCCGCAGGCCAUGCAGGGGCAAUCCAGAGGUCUGUGUGUUCACUGGAAGGGCAGGCCAACAAGAAAUCCUUCCUGCUUUUGAACUGCCUCUCUCCCAUACACAGGGCUCUUCCCAGCUGCCAGGAAGAAGUUGCAGUGACUGGGGUGAGAGUAGGGGCAGGGCGUGUUCAUGGGACCAGGGUCGAGAGUCCCGAAGGACGUGGCUUGCACCAUGUCCACCAAGAGAAGAAACCCAGGUCUGGUCAUCGGGCGGCU